rnacentral:rRNA from 2 species
GAGGGAUCAUUACACAAAUAUGAAGGCGGGCUGGAACCUCUCGGGGUUACAGCCUUGCUGAAUUAUUCACCCUUGUCUUUUGCGUACUUCUUGUUUCCUUGGUGGGUUCGCCCACCACUAGGACAAACAUAAACCUUUUGUAAUUGCAAUCAGCGUCAGUAACAAAUUAAUAAUUACAACUUUCAACAACGGAUCUCUUGGUUCUGGCAUCGAUGAAGAACGCAGCGAAAUGCGAUAAGUAGUGUGAAUUGCAGAAUUCAGUGAAUCAUCGAAUCUUUGAACGCACAUUGCGCCCUUUGGUAUUCCAAAGGGCAUGCCUGUUCGAGCGUCAUUUGUACCCUCAAGCUUUGCUUGGUGUUGGGCGUCUUGUCUCUAGCUUUGCUGGAGACUCGCCUUAAAGUAAUUGGCAGCCGGCCUACUGGUUUCGGAGCGCAGCACAAGUCGCACUCUCUAUCAGCAAAGGUCUAGCAUCCAUUAAGCCUUUUUUUCAACUUUUGACCUCGGAUCAGGUAGGGAUACCCGCUGAACUUAAGCAUAUCAAUAAGCGGAGGAA